rnacentral:rRNA from 1 species
UACGUAGGGGGCAAGCGUUGUCCGGAAUCAUUGGGCGUAAAGAGCGUGUAGGCGGCCCGGUAAGUCCGCUGUGAAAGUCCAGGGCUCAACCCUGGAAUGCCGGUGGAAACUGUCGGGCUAGAGUCCGGAAGAGGAGAGUGGAAUUCCUGGUGUAGCGGUGAAAUGCGCAGAUAUCAGGAAGAACACCCGUGGCGAAGGCGGCUCUCUGGGACGUGACUGACGCUGAGACGCGAAAGCGUGGGGAGCGAACAGG